AUUUUAAGAAUUAAUUAAUUAUACUCAAUUUCGGCUUGAAUUUAGACUUUCUUAGUCC
rnacentral:tRNA from 1 species